ensembl:snoRNA
GGUCAAUGAUGAGCUGGCAUGUAUUCUGAAUCCGAAGCUGAUUAUUACUACUUUAGCUCUAGAAUUACUCUGAGACCUG